CAUCACUAACUAUCAGUGUGAAAGGCUCACUUUUAUCACUAUAACCAAUCUCACACUGAUAGAAACCACUGUUUUUCUUUUCAGCUGAUAUAAUUAUAUAGCUCUUGUAUUCAUACAUAUUCUGACUGUUCUUGUACCAGCGGUGACUCUGAUAUGUUUCUUUUGUAGGAUUACAUGUUGCAGUUAUUGAUUCCCCUUUGAAUAUCUUUCCUGUGUUUGGUACGACUGUAAUAAAAGGACUGGCUCCGGCUCCU